rnacentral:sRNA from 1 species
GCCAGGUGUGGUGGUGCAUGCCUGUAAUCCUAGCUACUCAGGAGGCUGAGGCAGGAGAAUCGCUUGAACCCAGGAGGUGGAGGUUGCAGUGAGCCAAGAUCACGCCACUGCACUCCCGCCUGGGUGACAGAGCGAGAUCCCAUCUCAA